rnacentral:rRNA from 1 species
GACGAACGCUGGCGGCGUGCCUAAUACAUGCAAGUAGAACGCUGAAGAGAGGAGCUUGCUCUUCUUGGAUGAGUUGCGAACGGGUGAGUAACGCGUAGGUAACCUGCCUUGUAGCGGGGGAUAACUAUUGGAAACGAUAGCUAAUACCGCAUAACAAUGAGUGACACAUGUCAUUUAUUUGAAAGGGGCAAUUGCUCCACUACAAGAUGGACCUGCGUUGUAUUAGCUAGUAGGUGAGGUAACGGCUCACCUAGGCGACGAUACAUAGCCGACCUGAGAGGGUGAUCGGCCACACUGGGACUGAGACACGGCCCAGACUCCUACGGGAGGCAGCAGUAGGGAAUCUUCGGCAAUGGGGGCAACCCUGACCGAGCAACGCCGCGUGAGUGAAGAAGGUUUUCGGAUCGUAAAGCUCUGUUGUAAGUCAAGAACGAGUGUGAGAGUGGAAAGUUCACACUGUGACGGUAGCUUACCAGAAAGGGACGGCUAACUACGUGCCAGCAGCCGCGGUAAUACGUAGGUCCCGAGCGUUGUCCGGAUUUAUUGGGCGUAAAGCGAGCGCAGGCGGUUUGAUAAGUCUGAAGUUAAAGGCUGUGGCUCAACCAUAGUUCGCUUUGGAAACUGUCAAACUUGAGUGCAGAAGGGGAGAGUGGAAUUCCAUGUGUAGCGGUGAAAUGCGUAGAUAUAUGGAGGAACACCGGUGGCGAAAGCGGCUCUCUGGUCUGUAACUGACGCUGAGGCUCGAAAGCGCGGGGAGCGAACAGG